AUGAACAUUGCUCUCCUGACCCGCUGGCUUUGGCGUAUCGCCAAUGGGGAGGGAGGCCUUUGGCUUACCAGCAUCCGUAAUAAGUACCUUAGGGGCCAACCUCUUGCCUUCUGCCAGCGUUCGGGUGGAUCCCAGUUCUGGCAGUCGGUGAUCCAGCUUCUGCCCGUCCUCCACAUUGGCACGUCCAUCUCGGUUGGCUCCGGGUGCCAGCAGGUGGGAGGGAACGAAGCUCUUUCCUGA
rnacentral:rRNA from 1 species